GCGGCUGCGGCUGCGGCUGCCGCGGCAGCACCUCCGAGAGGCCGCCUGCAGGGGGCGCCGCCGCCUCCCCGGUGGUGGUGGGCAAGGGCCUCCCCGGGCCUUCGGCGGUCGGGGAAACCGAGGGCGAGGGAUCUGCGCAAGACCCGUUCUGCAGCUGCUGGUCAUCCAGCUUGAGUCCGGAGAGCUGGAUUCCCUGGCACGGAUUCUCCCCGCCGAGCGGAUUCCCCAGCUGCAGGCGGGAGCCCUUCCAAGAGCUCCUCGGGGCGCGGCUUGGCUGCGGCGCCCCGGAGGCUCGGCCCCCGCAGCCCGCAGCCCGCAGCCCGCGCCUCCCGGUCCCCGGACCCCGGACCCCGGACCCCGGUCCCGGAGCGCGGCCUCGGUGCAACAGCCGGAGGGAGGAGCCGGGGGCGGAGAAAGAGGAGACGGCGGAGGGAGGACAGACCCCGACUGGGGGAGGAGGAAACGCUAAGUGGCUCCGCGUCUGGUCAGCCCGAGCCCGGGACGCCGAGUGAGAGAAAUGAGUACACCAGGCAUUUCGGAGCACUAGGAGCACCGCUCCUCCUUUUCGUUAGAAGUCACUGGCUCUUCCAGGUGUCACCUUGCGGGAAAUCCAGGCAGCACGGAGCGCGCAAACCUUUCUGCAAAAAGUUUAGGGCAGUGUUAGGUUGUCUGCAAGGAGCUGUCGGUGGACCCCUGUGGGAAGAGGCCAGAGGAGAGAAGACUAAGAAGCUACUGGCUUUCAAAUUGAACCACUGGAUGUACCUGGGAUGGAGCUGUGAGCCUGUAGUGUGAGGACACACAAAAAGCCAUCCGAGCAGAGAAGAGGUCGGCAGCUGAGAGAGGUGUAACAUGGAAGAGAGACAGCGGAGCAGAGAUCAGACCCAUCCCUUAGCAUCAGCCUCCCCUCCUCCUGAGCCUGCAGAAACCUUGCAGAGCGGGGACAGCAGGCAGCGUUCCAUAGGACCUCUGUAGUUGGCCCUAAUCAUAAGAUGCCGCUAUGUAAGAUUUACAAAGUCAUCAGGCCCCUGCCGAUGUUCGGUAUUUUUCAGCGUUUUUGACUGUCUUUGGUAGUAUUGCCCCGUGUUGAACAUUUCUACCAGUUGGUGCUGGAUUGCAGGUAGAAAUAACAUCAUAUGCGGUUUAUGUCAAAAGACAAUUGCUUUCCCAUAACAUUCCAUUUCCUUGAAGUAACCCAUCUGCCUCCUAUAGUUAACUUUGCUUAAAAUAGAUACAGUGUGCCAUACUUCAGAUGAGUAUAAAAAGCUUCCCAUGGGUUUUGCUAGGCACCCUCACCCAGUUUCAGCGAGAUUAAGACUUUGAGAUCUACAGAUGAAGCGGUACCACCUGUGUGUGUGUGUGCGUGCGUGCAGAUGAAUUCUUUCUGAAGUAGUGUGAUUGCUGUCUUUUUAACCAGGGCUUCCAUUUGCAAAGGCAUGUAACUUGAGGUCAACUUUACAAAUCAAUGACAUUUACAUCCUUCCGAGUACAUUAAUGUGAUAUUCCUCUGUGCCCCCAGUGGUCUCCAUUUCUGUAAUGCUACACGUUCAGGUGUUUGAUUUAUUUUUCAGGCCAUCUCUCUUCCAGGAGCUAAAACAGUAUUUUGCUUGAAUUCAGCAGCACCUCGAGUGCCCUGGUAGUGAAGAGCUAUAAUAGCAACGCCAAAACUGCAUUUGCUCUGAAUGCUGGUGGUCUGGCGGGUAGUUUUUAGUGAGAAUCUAGCAAGUGACCAAUCCCAGGAUGAGCGAUGGGAACGCGGUCUCUGAUAGGAUUCGAUGCCAGACCCCAGGGCUUAACAGCUCAGUUGGGAGGCUGAUGAGCAAGGACCCACUGCAUCACCAGCUGAUAAGUGCUGAGGGAUGGAGCCGUGGGAGCCCUGAGGAGGACAUGUGGCCUGGCCUGAGAGCAUGAGGAAGGUGUCCAGAGGAGGAAAGUGCUGGAAGCCUGCAGACAUGUGCAAGAGAGUCUGCUAGGAAGCUCCAGAUCUUCUGUCCUUGUAGAUGAGAUUUUUUUGACAUCUGUAGUUUUCCACAGUAUCACACAACCUUGCUCAUACAAUGACUUCCCAAUAAAUAUUCCCUUAUUCCCCUUUAAGGAUUUCUG
rnacentral:lncRNA from 1 species